UACGUAGGGUGCAAGCGUUGUCCGGAAUUAUUGGGCGUAAAGAGCUCGUAGGCGGUCUGUCGCGUCUGCUGUGAAAACUCGGGGCUUAACCCCGGGCCUGCAGUGGGUACGGGCAGACUAGAGUCCGGAAGAGGCGAGUGGAAUUCCUGGUGUAGCGGUGGAAUGCGCAGAUAUCAGGAGGAACACCAACGGCGAAGGCAGCUCGCUGGGACGGUACUGACACUGAGGCGCGAAAGCGUGGGGAGCGAACAGG
rnacentral:rRNA from 1 species